AGGACGAACGCUGGCGGCGUGCUUAACACAUGCAAGUCGAGCGGUAAGGCCCUUCGGGGGUACACGAGCGGCGAACGGGUGAGUAACACGUGAGCAAUCUGCCCUUCACUUUGGGAUAACUCUGGGAAACGAGAGCUAAUACCGAAUACGACCACUUCAGGCAUCUGAUGGUGGUGGAAAGUUCCGGCGGUGAAGGAUGAGCUCGCGGCCUAUCAGCUAGUUGGUGGAGUAACGGCCCACCAAGGCUUCGACGGGUAGCCGGCCUGAGAGGGUGACCGGCCACACUGGGACUGAGACACGGCCCAGACUCCUACGGGAGGCAGCAGUGGGGAAUAUUGGACAAUGGGCGAAAGCCUGAUCCAGCAACGCCGCGUGAGGGAUGACGGCCUUCGGGUUGUAAACCUCUUUCAGUAGGGACGAAGCGCAAGCGACGGUACCUACAGAAGAAGCACCGGCCAACUACGUG
rnacentral:rRNA from 1 species